GUGAUGGAGCGAGAUAAGGGCGUUCGGUGGAUGCCUUGGCGCCAAGAGGCGAAGAAGGACGUGGCACGCUGCGAUAAGCCGUGGGGAGAUGCGAGCGAUCGAUGAUCCGCGGAUGUCCGAAUGGGGAAACCCACCCGUGAGGGUAUUGCAUCCUGAAUACAUAGGGGUGUGAGGCGAACCCGGGGAACUGAAA
rnacentral:rRNA from 1 species